GAUUUAAGAAUGGGAACCUCAUGCUCAGUUCAGCAGCACACAUACUAAGAUUAGCAUGGCCCCAACGCAAGGAUAACAGAAUUCGUGAAACAUUCCAUAUUUUA
rnacentral:snRNA from 1 species